rnacentral:rRNA from 1 species
AUUGAACGCUGGCGGCAUGCUUUACACAUGCAAGUCGAACGGUAACAGGCCGCAAGGUGCUGACGAGUGGCGAACGGGUGAGUAAUGCAUCGGAACGUGCCCAGUCGUGGGGGAUAACGCAGCGAAAGCUGCGCUAAUACCGCAUACGAUCUAUGGAUGAAAGCGGGGGACCGUAAGGCCUCGCGCGAUUGGAGCGGCCGAUGUCAGAUUAGGUAGUUGGUGGGGUAAAGGCCUACCAAGCCAACGAUCUGCAGCUGGUCUGAGAGGACGACCAGCCACACUGGGACUGAGACACGGCCCAGACUCCUACGGGAGGCAGCAGUGGGGAAUUUUGGACAAUGGGCGCAAGCCUGAUCCAGCAAUGCCGCGUGCAGGAAGAAGGCCUUCGGGUUGUAAACUGCUUUUGUACGGAACGAAACGGUCCGGGUUAAUACCCUGGGCUAAUGACGGUACCGUAAGAAUAAGCACCGGCUAACUACGUGCCAGCCGCCGCCGUAAGAC